CAACGUCAUUGACCUGCUGCAGCGGUCAAAAAAUCCCACAGUUCCUACGUCUGUAAAAUAUGCAACAACAUAAAGAAAAAAAGCAUACAGAGAAAGCCUUCAUCACCACAUUGCACACGACAAGCCCGCGUGGAGCACUCGCGGCAGGAGGGGAGAAAUUCUCAUGCGGUAACGUGGUACAAAAAGGAGGAUCCUACGGAAAACAGCAGAAGCAGCUCCCACAGACAGUUCAACACAGGCCAUGUUUCAGGAAAAGAUGUCGGCUUGGAGUUCCAGUUAAAUCCAGGUUCGUGUUUCUAUGAAUCGGCUGAAGGAGAAAGCUGGAGUGUUCAUCGAACAGCGGGCAAACAGGACGCAAAAACUCACAACAACUCAGGCUUCCUCUACAUGACAAUUCUUCAGGCAUUGCAUCACUUCCUGCCACUCGUGUUGUCUGACAGAGACGAUGUGGAUUACUCAGAGCGCGGUGACCCGACCCCGUGGGGACUGACCGCACGAAUCGCUCUGGCAAACGUGACGAUACGCAGCAGGAAGCAGAGCGUUGGAGCGUCAGCACUCGAUGAUUUGUCGUGCGGAUAUUUGCGUCCGGCGCACAUUUCCUCCCCACCCUCGUGGAAGCUCUGUUGCGUUAUUAUCCGCGGACCAUUACACUUUCGCCGUGUUGCCACAGCAACGCAGGGAC